UAAAAAUUUUAUAAUUUUUUAAUUUUAAUUUAAAUUUGUUUUACAUAUAAAUUUUAGUAUUAAUUUUAUAUUAUUUUAAUAAUAUUAUAAGUAAAAUUAUAGUAAUUAAAAUUAAAUAUUUAAGAAAUUAAGAUUUAGAAAUAUUUUUAAUUAUAAACAAAUUUUGUGCCAGCAGUUGCGGUUAUACAAAAUAUAAUUUAAAUUUUAUUAGUAGGUAAUAAAUAAUUAAAAUUAAAAUUAAAUAAUAAUUUAUUAGGUAAAAUUUUAAUUUAUAAAAAUUUUUAAUUUAAAUUAUGAUUUAAAAAAUUUUUUAAAAAACUAGGAUUAGAUACCCUAUUAUUAAAAAUUAAAUUUAAAAGCUAAAAUAGUAAAUAAUUAUUUAUUGAAACUUAAAUAAAUUGGCGGUAUUUUAGUUCAUUUAGAGGAAUCUGUCUAAUAAUUGAUAAUCCACGAAUAAAUUUACUUAAUUAUUUAAUUUUGUAUAUCAUUGUUAAAAAAAUAUUUUUUAAUAAAAAUAAUAUUUUAAAAUUUAUAUAUAAAAUUAAUUCAGAUCAAGAUGCAGAUUAUAUUUAAGAAUAUGAUGGAUUACAAUAAAAUUAAAGUUAAAUGAAUAAUGUUUUUUAAUAAAUAUUUGAAGGUGGAUUUAAAUGUAAUUUUUUUUAAUUUAUAAAAAUGAUUUUAUAUUAAAAUAUGUACAUAUUGCCCGUCGCUUUCAUUAAUAAAUUGGAAUAAGUCGUAACAAAGUAGAGGUACUGGAAAGUGUUUCUAGAAAGAC
rnacentral:ncRNA from 1 species